CUACGGGGGGCAGCAGUGAGGAAUAUUGCACAAUGGGGGAACCCUGAUGCAGCAACGCCGCGUGGAGGAUGACGCAUUUCGGUGUGUAAACUCCUUUUAUAUGUCAAGAAAAUGACGGUAGCAUAUGAAUAAGCACCGGCUAACUCCGUGCCAGCAGCCGCGGUAAUACGGGAGGGUGCAAGCGUUACUCGGAAUCACUGGGCGUAAAGGACGCGUAGGCGGGUUGGAAAGUCAGGUGUGAAAUCCUACAGCUUAACUGUAGAACUGCACUUGAAACUUCUAAUCUAGAGUAUGGGAGGGGGAGAUGGAAUUAGUGGUGUAGGGGUAAAAUCCGUAGAUAUCACUAGGAAUACCUAAAGCGAAGGCGAUCUCCUGGAACAUUACUGACGCUAAGGCGUGAAAGCGUGGGGAGCAAACAGGAUUAGAUACCCCGGUAGUC
rnacentral:rRNA from 1 species